AUUGAACGCUGGCGGCAGGCCUAACACAUGCAAGUCGAGCGGAUGAAGGGAGCUUGCUCCUGGAUUCAGUGGCGGACGGGUGAGUAAUGCCUAGGAAUCUGCCUGGUAGUGGGGGAUAACGUCCGGAAACGGGCGCUAAUACCGCAUACGUCCUGAGGGAGAAAGUGGGGGAUCUUCGGACCUCACGCUAUCAGAUGAGCCUAGGUCGGAUUAGCUAGUUGGUGGGGUAAAGGCCUACCAAGGCGACGAUCCGUAACUGGUCUGAGAGGAUGAUCAGUCACACUGGAACUGAGACACGGUCCAGACUCCUACGGGAGGCAGCAGUGGGGAAUAUUGGACAAUGGGCGAAAGCCUGAUCCAGCCAUGCCGCGUGUGUGAAGAAGGUCUUCGUAUUGUAAAGCACUUUAAGUUGGGAGGAAGGGCAGUAAGUUAAUACCUUGCUGUUUUGACGUUACCAACAGAAUAAGCACCGGCUAACUUCGUG
rnacentral:rRNA from 1 species